UUUCCGUAGGUGAACCUGCGGAAGGAUCAUCCAUAAUAAGUGUUUUAUGGCACUUUUUUAAAUCCAUAUCCACCUUGUGUGCAAUGUCAGGGUUGAUUUUUCUCUCGAGAGGAUCAACCCCAAACACCAACUAUAUCUCAACUCUUUGUCUGAAAAGUAUUAUGAAUAAAACAAUUCAAAAUACAACUUUCAACAACGGAUCUCUUGGCUCUC
rnacentral:misc_RNA from 1 species